UGUGAAAAACACUUCAUUCAUUAAACAUGUUAAAAAAUACACAUUGAACCAAUUUUUUUGAUGUAUUCACAAUUCAUUUUUAUUAAACAUCUUUUAAUAAACAAUACAGAAAUGAUACAUACUGGUAUUGGCGAGACUCAGCUCAAAAACUUUUUGUCAUCACUUAAUGUCCAUUGCAUAGAUGCAAAGACCUUGAAAAUUAGAGAAAAUGAAGCCGGCAGUGUUCUUGAUAAUCAGGCCAUCAUGUCACAACAAAGACACUUGCAAAGGGAAAUAUUGAAUUCCACAACAGAAGAUCAAACAGACAGUAGAAGUGGAAUAUGCAUAAGUACUGAUACAUGCUGGCAGAAAAAAGGAUCUGGCCGAUCGUACUACAGCUUAUCAGAAGUUUCAACACUGAUUGGAAAAACCACAGGCAAAGUUGUAAACCAUAAGGUUCGCAUAUCAAGCUGUAGAAUUUGUGAAAGGGCAAAGGGCAGAGGUGUCUUACCACGACAACAUAAGUGUAGAAAGAAUUGGAGUGGUUCGGCAAAGGGUAUGGAACCAGAUAUGGAAGUCGAAAUGUUAAAGGAAUUAGAUGAAAAAGGAGUGGAUAUAUUAGAAGUAGUAGGAGAUGAUGAUUCCACAGGUUUUGACUGAGCCAAGCGAUUAAUAAUGCCCAAUUCAAAAAUGGAAAAAAUAAGUGAUAGAAAUCAUAUCAAACAUAACAUUAUUUCAAAGAUAAAUGAACUAAAGCCAAAACACAAAGAGUUAACUGGAAUGGUUUGUGACGCAAUUGUUAAAAACUUUACAUACGUUGUCAACCAGAAUGUAGGUAAUCCAAGUGGUAUUGAGGACGGCCUACAUGCAUCAAUAAAACACAUAUUUGGCGAACAUGAUAACUGCAAUGAAACUUGGUGUGGAUACCUUAAAGACAAGGAUUCCUAUAUCCAUUCAAAUCUUCCUCGUGGAAAAGACCUAUGUUCGUCUGAACACAGAUCAGAUCUUGAGAAACUGUUUAUUCAAAAAAGCUAUCUAACUUGGGCUCAUCACAGGCAAAUGAAAGCUUUAAUAACUUAAUUGCUCUCAAAGCUCUAAAAACCAAACAUUUCUCCACAUCAGCAUCUUUAAAUUACAGAGUCAGCUCAGCCGUACUCCAAAAAAAUGAGGGUUAUAAUUAUGUUGCUGAGUUAAACACAUCUAUAGGCCUGUCACCUGGAAAUGAGACCCUAAGCAGGGGUAAUAAAUUAAACAAGAAGAGAGAGGGCAACAAAAACAGAUUAAAAAGCAAACAGGGAAAAAAACAACAUAAAGUUCUCAAAAAGAAACGCCUACAAAAAACAACAGUGGCUGAAGUCAAAGAAGGGAGAACAUACCACAGUUCAAUCGGGUUAGAAGAUUUUGCAACAAUAGACAUAGAAGAAAUACCUGCAGUUCCUGAAGCUGAAACCUUUACAACAUAGAUGAUGCACCAAUAGUUUGUUUUGAUUUAAAGACAAAUGGUUUAAGUAUAUAUUCUGAUAUAACCCAGAUAGCUGCAUGCACCAAAGACAGUUCCUUCAGUCGAUAUAUAUUUCCAGACCAACAAAUUUCAAGAGAAGCAUCAGAAAUAACAAAAAUCACUAUUGUAGGACAAAAAAUGUAUUACAAUGGUAAUGCUGUUGUUUAUAAGCAUAAACAUGAAAGAAUGACUGAUUUUUAACUUAUUUGUAUUUGUCAAGUUUCACAGAUAAACCUGUAUUGGUAGGACAUAAUAUAAAACGAUUUGACUGCCAUGUUUUAUUUCAUACCUUAAAAUCUAUGAAUAUGUACAGUGAACUAUGUGCAAGAACUGUUGCAUUUUUAGACUCUUUGAAUUUGUUUAAACUCGUUUCACCUGGCUUGUCAUCUUAUAGCCAGUCUUUUCUCGUUGAUAAACUAUUAGUCAACAGUAUGAAUCUCAUAAUGCUGUGUAUGACACAAAAUUACUUUUUAAUUUAGUCACUGAGAAAGGUAAUGUUUCUCAAUUUAUUAGUGAACUUGCUUUUUCACCUAGCUACCCUCAGUUAUACCAGAUGCAAUUGGCCAACUUGAAAACUUUUGAAGAGCUAGUUCAAUCAAAAUGUCUGUCAAAAGCUAUGGCACUAAAGACCAAAAGGUAUAACCUAAGGUUUCAACAUUUCCAAUUAGCAGUACAACGAAAUGACAUGGCAGGACUCAAAGCCUUAAUGACAGAAAAGUCUUCAACUGGGGUAGUUAGAGUGACAUCAAACAAAAUAAUUAUACAAAGAGUAUAUGAGUAUCUAAUUAGUCACAAGUAAAGGAAAAAUAUGUUUGUUAAGGUAGUCAGUCAGUGGUAAUACUUUAAGAGCAUAUGAUACAGUUACAUGGGAGGUCAUGAAGUUUUAACGUAAAAUAUUAUUCCUCCUGUAUGAUAAGAAUUAGAAAAUUGAUCGUUGUUAUGCAGAACUUUACCUUAACUAACCUUUUGUUGAAAUUCAUGAUCAGAGAUAAACAUUAAUGUGUACUGUAAAUUAGUGUAAAUGGUAGUGUGAGCCCUGCUGUAAUAUUUGUAAAUGUAUUGUAGACAUAUCUUCAUGAUAUAAA